rnacentral:pre_miRNA from 1 species
UGUGUGGGCUUUGUAAAUAUGUUCUGUUGUGUGUGGGCUAUGUAAAUAUUAACCCACACACAACAGAACAUAUUUACACAGCCCCACACA